rnacentral:rRNA from 3 species
GGGCGCAAGCCUGAUGCAGCCAUGCCGCGUGUGUGAAGAAGGCCUUCGGGUUGUAAAGCACUUUCAGUCGUGAGGAAGGUGGUAGUGUUAAUAGCACUAUCAUUUGACGUUAGCGACAGAAGAAGCACCGGCUAACUCCGUGCCAGCAGCCGCGGUAAUACGGAGGGUGCGAGCGUUAAUCGGAAUUACUGGGCGUAAAGCGCAUGCAGGUGGUUUGUUAAGUCAGAUGUGAAAGCCCGGGGCUCAACCUCGGAAUAGCAUUUGAAACUGGCAGACUAGAGUACUGUAGAGGGGGGUAGAAUUUCAGGUGUAGCGGUGAAAUGCGUAGAGAUCUGAAGGAAUACCGGUGGCGAAGGCGGCCCCCUGGACAGAUACUGACACUCAGAUGCGAAAGCGUGGGGAGCAAACAGGAUUAGAUACCCUGGUAGUCCACGCCGUAAACGAUGUCUACUUGGAGGUUGUGGCCUUGAGCCGUGGCUUUCGGAGCUAACGCGUUAAGUAGACCGCCUGG